GCCGAUAUGAAGUAUUGUACACUGGCGAAACGAAAGAGGAAGUUAUUUUGAAAAGUUAAGGUCUUUUCCGAAAAUAAGUUUGCAUUUAUAUUUGUACGAUUUGUAUUUUAAGGAAAACAAAGGCAAUUAAGGCGCCAUUUCUUGUUGCUAUGAUGGAUUUUGGGACAACCUACUCCAGAUGGUCUUAUUCGUUUAAACAUGAGUUUGAACUCGACCCAACAAAAGUCGCAACAAAAAGUUUGUAUGGAGACCAGCUGGUUUCAUUAUAAGCACCGACAUGUGUUCUGGUUGAACCCGAUGGGGAAACUCUCUUAGCGUUUGGAUAUGACGCUCAAGCCAAGUACACCAGUCUAGUUGAAGCAGAGGAAAAUGAAAACUGGUACUCAGGAGAUUCAAGAUGAAGCUAUACAAUAAGAUUUCUCAAAGACGACCUUUUAAACGUGAUUGAAGACCGCAUUGCAGGAGCCGCUACCUCGGAGGAAAUUAAUUGGGUGUUGACUGUUCCCGCGAUUUGGGAUGGUGGUGCCAAGCAGUUCAUGAGAGAAGCAGCAGAAAGCGUAAGAUCGCCAUGAUUAAAGUAGUAAUUUCAUUAUUAAUAGUGUUAAACUUAUAAUGUUAGAAUUUGAUGAUGGCGCAAAUGAGGCCACAAGUGUUUCUGAUGCUUAAUGCAAAGCGUAUUGUUAAGCCCUCGAUAAUCUGUUUGUAAAAGGUUAUAGCUAUCUUAGUCGUUUAUAAAUUGCAGAACUCCAAAACUAAAAUUAGAGUCGGUAUCACCCUAAACAACAAACAUUUCGAAAAUGAACCUAACAAUUUCUUUAUAAUACCUAAGAUGGCAAUUACCUUAAUCUUCUAUUUCAACUACUGCAUGUCUGAGCCUUUGACAAUAAAUCGAUUAUUUAAAUGAUAAUGUACGUUUGGAAUUUGUUGUGAAAACUAACUUUUUUGAAAACGGAACAAAAAUUUUAU